CGCUGCUAGGGUGUAGUUAGUCCGAGGCCGGACCAAAACUGCAGAGACAUGGGUGGAGCCUGCUGCCCUCCGCCAGGCUGGGUGUUCUUUAGGGAGCUCUCGCCUUGUAAAGUUCAUCUACACCGUAGUACAGUACAAAAUGAUCUACAACUAUUGAGUGGACCAACUGAAAUCAUUUGUCAAUCCUCUUUGCAAAUGAACUUGUGCAAUGUAUUAAAACAUUUUUAAAGGUUCAACAUUUAUAAUUAGCUUAUUCCAGUCUUUGAUAUUAGUGUUAUGUCAGUUAAUUUCUCAACUUUAAAUUCCUUAAGAAGAGACUACGUAUUACAUUUUCUUUCUGCAGUCUCUGUAAUUCUUAACCAUCAUGGUGCCAAACACAGGAAUGGAGCUUGCUAUGGACUGAAUAUUUUUGUCCUCCCCAGAUUCUUUUUUGAAACCCCAAGGUGAUGGUAUUUGGAGGUAAUUCGUCUUAAGGGUAGAGCUCUUGAAUUGGGUAAGUGCCCUCAUAGGAAGAAACAAGGCUGGGCAUGGUGGUUUACACCUGUAAAUCCCUGUGCUUUGGGAAGCUGAGUGGGGAGGAUCACAUGAACCUAGGAGUUUGAGGUUGUAGUGAGCUAUGAUCAUGCCACUGCACUCCAGCCUGGGUGACAGAGAUCCUGUCUCUUGGAAAAGACAAAAGCAAGAUGACCUUUUUCUGCCCUACACAAAGAAACUGAAAAGGAAACAGCCAUCUGCAAACCAGAGAAAAGGCCCUCAACAGAAACCAUAAAGGCUGGCAUGUUGACGUUAGACAUUGUAGCUCUCAGAACUGUGAGAAACACAUUCUGUUAAUCUCCUCAGUCAACAGUAUUUUUGUUGUAGUAGCCUGAAUUAAGUGCUGAAAAUUUGAAUAUGGGGUGUAAUUAUCAUGUAAUCAUUUAGUCUUCUCUUUUCCCAAAUAUGCCUUCUGAAAUGUUUGUCAAACUAAAUGACUGUAGCUUACUAGGGUAUAUAUAAAACAACAACAAAACACCUUUAAGAAAUAAACUAUUUCCAUGAGCAAUUGUUAGUGAUCCCUUAGAAUCAGAUUAAGAUUUCAGUUUUUCUUUCUUACUUAAGGCACUACUUCUCAAAACCAAAGCUACCUAAUUUAGAAUUGGCUUUUUUCUCUUUAUUGAAAGACAUCCCCUUGCCAUCUUUCUUAUUAUUGGUUUUCAAGCAUUGAAAAUGCAAAGUUGGCUUUUGUUUUUCAGAAGUGUGAAUCCAUUUAAAAGCAGAAGUAUAAUAUGCAACCUCCUACACCACAGAUAUUAGGUUUGUACUUUGUUACGUUACAAAGGUAUUCUGUCAAAGCCACAGUAGCACAUUUUCUUUUACACUUAUCCAAAAUUCAAGUGAUAUUUUUGCAAUCAAGGUGUGCAACACAUUAAGACUUAUUAAAGCACUGAUAAUGCUCCCAUCUUAAAUUCCAGUCACCUGAGUUAAUCAAAUGCUGUGACUUAAGCAAGCAUUUAUCAAUAGUAUAUGUAUUUCCAAAGACAUUAAGGAACAUUCGGAAUUUAGUGUCAAGGACAGCAAACAUUAAAAGUGUAAGAUAUCUGCAUAGAUUCAUUUACGUAAGUAAAAUAUACUGAGAAUGGAAUACUGAAUUUCUGCUUAUAGUGAUUAAAAGCAGUGACUUGGUUGUUCUUUGCUAUUUUAAUCAUUUUGAAAUAAUCCUGAUUUUAAAAUCUGUUAUUAAAACAAUGUUUUGGUACACUUUAAAUGUUCUGUAAUGCCAGAUCUGUGGGAAUAAGUGUUGUGAAAAACAUCAACAUGAAAAUAGAUUUAAUAAACUAGAGGAUCUGAAGAGAUUUUAUAACUUUGAGUUUUCCUG
rnacentral:lncRNA from 10 species